GGCGGCGUGCCUAAUACAUGCAAGUCGAGCGGACCGACGGGAGCUUGCUCCCUUAGGUCAGCGGCGGACGGGUGAGUAACACGUGGGUAACCUGCCUGUAAGACUGGGAUAACUCCGGGAAACCGGGGCUAAUACCGGAUGCUUGAUUGAACCGCAUGGUUCAAUYAUAAAAGGUGGCUUUUAGCUACCACUUUCCGAUGGACCCGCGGCGCAUUAGCUAGUUGGUGAGGUAACGGCUCACCAAGGGGACGAUGCGUAACCGACCUGAGAGGGUGAUCGGCCACACUGGGACUGAGACACGGCCCAGACUCCUACGGGAGGCAGCAGUAGGGAAUCUUCCGCAAUGGACGAAAGUCUGACGGAGCAACGCCGCGUGAGUGAUGAAGGUUUUCGGAUCGUAAAACUCUGUUGUUAGGGAAGAACAAGUACCGUUCGAAUAGGGCGGCACCUUGACGGUACCUAACCAGAAAGCCACGGCUAACUACGUGCCAGCAGCCGCGGUAAUACGUAGGUGGCAAGCGUUGUCCGGAAUUAUUGGGCGUAAAGCGCGCGCAGGCGGUUUCUUAAGUCUGAUGUGAAAGCCCCCGGCUCAACCGGGGAGGGUCAUUGGAAACUGG
rnacentral:rRNA from 1 species